GACGAACCGUCCGAACGUUAUUCGGAAUCACUGGGCUUAAAGGGCGCGUAGGCGGGCUGCCAAGUCCGGGGUGAAAUCCUCCAGCUUAACUGGAGAACGGCCCCGGAUACUGGAAGUCUCGAGGGGGAUAGGGGCACACGGAACUUAUGGUGGAGCGGUGAAAUGCGUUGAUAUCAUAAGGAACUCCGGUGGCGAAGGCGGUGUGCUGGAUCCCUUCUGACGCUGAGGCGCGAAAGCCAGGGGAGCAAACGGG
rnacentral:rRNA from 1 species